CCCGCACAAGCGGUGGAGCAUGUGGUUUAAUUCGAAGCAACGCGAAGAACCUUACCAAAUCUUGACAUCCUCUGACCCCUCUAGAGAUAGAGUUUUCCCCUUCGGGGGACAGAGUGACAGGUGGUGCAUGGUUGUCGUCAGCUCGUGUCGUGAGAUGUUGGGUUAAGUCCCGCAACGAGCGCAACCCUUAAGCUUAGUUGCCAUCAUUAAGUUGGGCACUCUAAGUUGACUGCCGGUGACAAACCGGAGGAAGGUGGGGAUGACGUCAAAUCAUCAUGCCCCUUAUGAUUUGGGCUACACACGUGCUACAAUGGACAAUACAAAGGGUAGCAAAACCGCGAGGUCAAGCAAAUCCCAUAAAGUUGUUCUCAGUUCGGAUUGUAGUCUGCAACUCGACUACAUGAAGCUGGAAUCGCUAGUAAUCGUAGAUCAGCAUGCUACGGUGAAUACGUUCCCGGGUCUUGUACACACCGCCCGUCACACCACGAGAGUUUGUAACACCCGAAGCCGGUGGAGUAACCUUUUGGAGCUAGCCGUCGAAGGUGGGACAAAUGAUUGGGGUGAAGUCGUAACAAGGUAGCCGUAUCGGAAGGUGCGGCUGGAUCACCUCCUUUCUAAGGA
rnacentral:rRNA from 1 species